AGAGUUUGAUCCUGGCUCAGAACGAACGCUGGCGGCAGGCUUAACACAUGCAAGUCGAACGCCCCGCAAGGGGAGUGGCAGACGGGUGAGUAACACGUGGGAACGUGCCCUAAGGUUUGGAAUAUUCCCGGGAAACUGGGAGCAAUACCAAAUGUGUCCGCAAGGAGAAAGAUUUAUCGCCUUAGGAUCGGCCCGCGUCAGAUUAGGUAGUUGGUGGGGUAAUGGCCUACCAAGCCGACGAUCUGUAGCUGGUCUGAGAGGACGACCAGCCACACUGGGACUGAGACACGGCCCAGACUCCUACGGGAGGCAGCAGUGGGGAAUCUUGGACAAUGGGCGCAAGCCUGAUCCAGCCAUGCCGCGUGGAUGAUGAAGGCCCUAGGGUUGUAAAAUCCUUUCGUUGGGGACGAUAAUGACGGUACCCAAAGAAGAGU
rnacentral:rRNA from 1 species